rnacentral:rRNA from 1 species
GAUGAACGCUGGCGGCGUGCCUAAUACAUGCAAGUCGAACGAGGUGCUUUUGUAGCAAUACGAGAGUAUCCUAGUGGCGAACGGGUGAGUAACGCGUUGGUGACCUGCCCCAAAGUGUGGAAUAACAAUCCGAAAGGAUUGCUAAUACCGCAUGUGGUCAUCGGAUUUGGAAACCGAUGAUUAAAGGAGUAAUCCGCUUUGGGAGGGGCCUGCGUCCCAUCAGCUAGUUGGUAGGGUAACGGCCUACCAAGGCGACGACGGGUAGGGGACCUGAGAGGGUGACCCCCCACAAUGGUACUGAGACACGGUCCAGACUCCUACGGGAGGCAGCAGUGGGGAAUAUUGCGCAAUGGGCGAAAGCCUGACGCAGCCAUGCCGCGUGUGUGAAGAAGGCCUUAGGGUUGUAAAGCACUUUCAAUUGGGAAGAAAAGUUUAUGGUUAAUAGCCAUAAGCCCUGACAUUACCUUUAGAAGAAGCACCGGCUAACUCCGUGCCAGCAGCCGCGGUAAUUC